rnacentral:rRNA from 1 species
GUCGAACGGUAACAGGGAGCUUGCUCCGCUGACGAGUGGCGAACGGGUGAGUAAUAUAUCGGAACGUACCCAAGAGUGGGGGAUAACGUAGCGAAAGUUACGCUAAUACCGCAUACGAUCUAUGGAUGAAAGUGGGGGAUCGUCAGACCUCGUGCUCCUGGAGCGGCCGAUAUCUGAUUAGCUAGUUGGUGAGGUAAAGGCUCACCAAGGCGACGAUCAGUAGCUGGUCUGAGAGGACGACCAGCCACACUGGAACUGAGACACGGUCCAGACUCCUACGGGAGGCAGCAGUGGGGAAUUUUGGACAAUGGGCGCAAGCCUGAUCCAGCAAUGCCGCGUGAGUGAAGAAGGCCUUCGGGUUGUAAAGCUCUUUUGUCAGGGAAGAAACGGUAGAGGCUAAUAUCCUUUGCUAAUGACGGUACCUGAAGAAUAAGCACCGGCUAACUACGUGCCAGCAGCCGCGGUAAUACGUAGGGUGCAAGCGUUAAUCGGAAUUACUGGGCGUAAAGCGUGCGCAGGCGGUUUUGUAAGUCUGUCGUGAAAUCCCCGGGCUCAACCUGGGAAUUGCGAUGGAGACUGCAAGGCUAGAAUCUGGCAGAGGGGGGUAGAAUUCCACGUGUAGCGGUGAAAUGCGUAG